rnacentral:rRNA from 1 species
GGAAGGUCCGGGCGUUAUCCGGAUUUAUUGGGUUUAAAGGGAGCGUAGGCCGGAGAUUAAGCGUGUUGUGAAAUGUAGAUGCUCAACAUCUGAACUGCAGCGCGAACUGGUUUCCUUGAGUACGCACAAAGUGGGCGGAAUUCGUGGUGUAGCGGUGAAAUGCUUAGAUAUCACGAAGAACUCCGAUUGCGAAGGCAGCUCACUGGAGCGCAACUGACGCUGAAGCUCGAAAGUGCGGGUAUCNAACAGGAUUAGAUACCCUGGUAGUCCNCACGGUAAACGAUGGAUGCCCGCUGUUGGUCUGAANAGGUCAGCGGCCAAGCGAAAGCAUUAAGCAUCCCACCUGGGGAGU